rnacentral:rRNA from 1 species
GAUGAACGCUAGCUACAGGCUUAACACAUGCAAGUCGAGGGGAAACGAUAGAGAAAGCUUGCUUUUUCUAGGCGUCGACCGGCGCACGGGUGAGUAACGCGUAUCCAACCUGCCCAUCACUUGGGGAUAACCUUGCGAAAGUAAGACUAAUACCCAAUGAUAUCUCUAGAAGACAUCUGAAGGAGAUUAAAGAUUUAUCGGUGAUGGAUGGGGAUGCGUCUGAUUAGCUUGUUGGCGGGGUAACGGCCCACCAAGGCGACGAUCAGUAGGGGUUAUGAGAGGAAGGUCCCCCACAUUGGAACUGAGACACGGUCCAAACUCCUACGGGAGGCAGCAGUGAGGAAUAUUGGUCAAUGGGCGAGAGCCUGAACCAGCCAAGUAGCGUGCAGGAUGACGGCCCUAUGGGUUGUAAACUGCUUUUAUAAGGGAAUAAAGUGAGUCUCGUGAGGCUUUUUGCAUGUACCUUAUGAAUAAGGACCGGCUAAUUCCGUGCCAGCAGCCGCCGUAAGAC